rnacentral:rRNA from 1 species
AGGACGAACGCUGGCGGCGUGCCUAACACAUGCAAGUCGAGCGAUGAAACCCUUCGGGGUGGAUUAGCGGCGGACGGGUGAGUAACACGUGGGUAACCUGCCUCAAAGAGGGGGAUAGCCUCCCGAAAGGGAGAUUAAUACCGCAUAACAUUAUUUCUUCGCAUGAAGAGAUAAUCAAAGGAGUAAUCCGCUUUGAGAUGGACCCGCGGCGCAUUAGCUAGUUGGUGAGGUAAUGGCUCACCAAGGCAACGAUGCGUAGCCAACCUGAGAGGGUGAUCGGCCACAUUGGAACUGAGAUACGGUCCAGACUCCUACGGGAGGCAGCAGUGGGGAAUAUUGCGCAAUGGGGGAAACCCUGACGCAGCAACGCCGCGUGGGUGAAGAAGGCCUUCGGGUUGUAAAGCUCUGUCUUCUGGGACGAUAAUGACGGUACCAGAGGAGGAAGCCACGGCUAACUACGUGCCAGCCGCUGC